rnacentral:rRNA from 1 species
AUGCACGCUGGCGGCGUGCCUCAUACCUGCAAGUCGCGCGCACAGACGAGGAGCUUGCUCCUCUGACGUUAGCGGCGGACGGGUGAGUAACACGUGGAUAACCUACCUAUAAGACUGGGAUAACUUCGGGAAACCGGAGCUAAUACCGGAUAAUAUAUUGAACCGCAUGGUUCAAUAGUGAAAGACGGUUUUGCUGUCACUUAUAGAUGGAUCCGCGCCGCAUUAGCUAGUUGGUAAGGUAACGGCUUACCAAGGCGACGAUGCGUAGCCGACCUGAGAGGGGGAUCGGCCACACUGGAACUGAGACACGGUCCAGACUCCUACGGGAGGCAGCAGUAGGGAAUCUUCCGCAAUGGGCGAAAGCCUGACGGAGCAACGCCGCGUGAGUGAUGAAGGUCUUCGGAUCGUAAAAAUCUGUUAUUAGGGAAGAACAAAUGUGUAAGUAACUAUGCACGUCUUGACGGUACCUAAUCAGAAAGCCACGGCUAACUACGUG